CUAAACUUCUGUAGAAGUUAGUUGCUCAGGAUGGCUGUACGAGUUGCUUAAAAAAAUAAGAUGACAGAGGUACUACGCAUAGAUUUGAGGUUUGUUGAUUCUUAUCUAAAGGACCAUGCAUACAGCGGUCGAUCUCUAUAUAUGGGAUGUGACUGACUAGGAAGGUGAAGGACAGGAAAGCGUCACUUUGUUAGUUUCUGAAUCUUUCUGAAUUGAUGUUUGCAUGACUUAGUUGUUUGUUGUUGCCUAAAUAUUUAUUAGUGCACCUGCACUAAAUGGAGCCCCUGAGCGCACAGCCUGAUUAAAAUCGCGCUGCGCAGGUUGUUUCCUAUCGGAACUGACGUGCACGCGGGGGCGAGGGAGAUACCGUGUUAGAAGAGGCCGAUGAAUCAGCGUCCGUCUCACCUCAGGGUGGACACGGUCCGGGCCGGUCCAGUCCCAGACCGAGCCGCUGUUUGGACCGGCCGACGGCGAGCCGGACCGGACCGGACCGACCAGCCGAGCGGUCCUGUUUUCCUGCACCGGACCGAACAAGCAAAAGCCCGGUCUGGACCGACGGACCGACCAGCAACCCAUCGGCGGCGAGGUGGUGACCAUGUGGUCGACAAGAGAAGGCUGCUGGCCCACAUUCAGAAGGGGGAACCGAGUAGAAAGGUGCAGUGACUCACGACAAACUCGAUGGCGGGGUCGAGGAGGCCGGGGAAGCAGCUACGACGACGUAAUGGACGACGCAUGACGGCGGCUGGACUUGGGGAUGGAGGAUGAUGGUGACGGCUUUGGUGCCCAUUCGGCCGAUUCCUUGCACUAGGAAGUAGAUCUGAAGGUGGCGGAGCUACUGGACAAGGUGGUUCGUCGCGGGCAGGCCGACGGCCGUGCGUGCUGUGCGCCGGUGGCCCUCAAUGUUCUGCGCGGUGGCAUGCAUGCUCGGGCAAGGCAAGGUGGCACUGUAAGAGAGGAGAGGGGCGACGUCAACGAGUUGGGAGGGAUGGAGAGGAGAGAUCGGGCGAGUGGUGGGCCUAGUGACGACGGUGGCGGCGCUCGCCGGUGGGAUGGGAGAGGGAUAAGGCGCCGUCACCGCCCGCCUUGAACUGGACGAGGACCGGGUCAAGUAUUCUCUCUCUUCCUUCUCUCUCUCUAUGCGGUGCGUGCCCUAGUUAACAGAUGUUGGAGCUGGACUGGGCCAAGAUUCGGUCCGCUCGGUUAGCCCGGUUAAAAACAGGACCGGACCGAAGCUUUAUCGGGCCUGAUUCCUGAGCUCGGACCGACCAACUUUUUUGACGAUCCAGGACCGUACGGUCCGGUCCUUAACGGGCCGCGAGCCGGGCCAAAAGCCCGCUCGUCACGUCCAGGCUGAGUCUCACCCACCCACCAUCCUGACACGUUCUCCUCUCUCUCUCUCUCUCUCUCUCUCUCUCCUAUCCGUCGUUCUCGAAACUGCCUGAGAAGAGAGAGGGUUUGAGAAGAUGGAGCGCCCCGAACUCGAGACUGAGUGGGGGGCGGAGGUACCACCAACCGGAGGAGGGGAGCGGGGGGCAGCUCUCCGUCCGCGCCGCGACCGCAAAACUGAAGGACCGAGGGCCAGAGUGCCGCCCGUGCCGUGACCACCAAGCGGAGGAGCAAGGGCCGGAGUGCCCGUCCCAAAGCACUCUGGCGACGAUGAGACAUGACGCGAGGGUGUUUGUUCUUCUGUUCUUGCCGAAACUGAAACUGAAACGCUGUGCAUGCCAAACUUCAGAAAGCAUGUACGCGGAGAACACCAGUACAUAUUCCAAGAACAGGGGUAAAGCACGGUAUGCUCGGCCAGAAGAAAUGCCCAACAAGAUCAAGGGCCUCAAGGGCAGGGUAAGGCGGGACAAACAGGGAAGCAAGGAUAGCUAUUAAAUAGUUUUUGCAGCAAAUUAAACGGGGAAGGAAGGAUAGCGGGACAAACGGGGUUGCAAACGAGGGAGAGGGGCGGAUUUUGUACUACGGCGAGUGGCUUCUCUUGCGAUCGUCAUGGCUGAUAUGGGGAUUGAAGGGGGGUGGCUAGCGUUGGAUUCAUAGGGAAACUUUUCACUCUAGGGGCAGAGCAGUUGCUUGGAUUUUUGCUAUAAGAGUUGCAGUUUCUUAGUUUUGUUGGGGCAGUUCCUUGGAUUUAUUUUGAAUAGUUUUUGCAUUUGUGGUUUUUGUAAUGCAGUUGCUUGGUUUUGCUAGCGCAAUUGCUUGGAUUUUUUUCUAGAACUGUUUUGCAUUUUGUGUUUUUUUGUAAUUGCAUUGCUUGGUUAUUGCUAGAACAGAGAAGACACCCGGAGGGGAGGGGGUGGGUGUUAGAUAGUUAUCAAUAUCAUACAUUUUUCCUCUGCGUAAAGUAGAUAAUCUAAGUAGUAAUGCUACCACGGUUGCUUGGUUUUGUUAGGACAGUUGCUUGGAUUUGUGCCAGAACAGUUUUGCAUCUGUGUUUUUGCUAGGUGGAGGGCGGCAAGGUGUGUGAUAGGGCGUGUAGCGGGAAGAUGAAGGUGGUGGGCGGCGAGGCAAGAGAGAGGAAGCGUGUGGGGGUGGACGAAGGUGGAGGGCACUACCCAAGUUAUGAUUGGAGUUGCACAAUAUGUCGGAAGGAGUUGCAUAGGAGUGGAUCGGAAGUGGCUCAUUUUUCCUUUUUUGUUUGUCGAGUGGAUUUGCCCAAUAUUUUUUAUAAGUAUUUAGGUGCUCUUCUUGAUUGGAUAGGUUGGUUCGGACUAGUGUUCUUUUUGCCCUGCUAAUCUUGGUUGCAUAUGUUAGUUAAGACUUUCCUUUG